rnacentral:snRNA from 1 species
AGCUUUGUGCAGUGGCAGUAUCAUAGCCAGUGAGAUUUAUCCAAGGCUUGAUUAUUGCUAAAUGGAAAAAUAAGAAAACUGAGUCCCAGUGAGAGUUGUUUUCUGUUAACAGG